CUGGACCUAGCGGCGGACGGGUGAGUAAUGCUUAGGAAUCUGCCUAUUAGUGGGGGACAACAUCUCGAAAGGGAUGCUAAUACCGCAUACGUCCUACGGGAGAAAGCAGGGGAUCUUCGGACCUUGCGCUAAUAGAUGAGCCUAAGUCGGAUUAGCUAGUUGGUGGGGUAAAGGCCUACCAAGGCGACGAUCUGUAGCGGGUCUGAGAGGAUGAUCCGCCACACUGGGACUGAGACACGGCCCAGACUCCUACGGGGGGCAGCAGUGG
rnacentral:rRNA from 1 species